UGGGGAAUUUUGGACAAUGGGGGAAACCCUGAUCCAGCCAUCCCGCGUGUGCGAUGAAGGCCUUCGGGUUGUAAAGCACUUUUGGCAGGAAAGAAACGUCGUGGGUUAAUACCCCGCGAAACUGACGGUACCUGCAGAAUAAGCACCGGCUAACUACGUGCCAGCAGCCGCGGUAAUACGUAGGGUGCAAGCGUUAAUCGGAAUUACUGGGCGUAAAGCGUGCGCAGGCGGUUCGGAAAGAAAGAUGUGAAAUCCCAGAGCUUAACUUUGGAACUGCAUUUUUAACUACCGGGCUAGAGUGUGUCAGAGGGAGGUGGAAUUCCGCGUGUAGCAGUGAAAUGCGUAGAUAUGCGGAGGAACACCGAUGGCGAAGGCAGCCUCCUGGGAUAACACUGACGCUCAUGCACGAAAGCGUGGGGAGCAAACAGGAUUAGAUACCCUGGUAGUCCACGCCCUAAAACGAUGUCAACUAGCUGUUGGGGUCUUCGGACCUUGGUAGCGCAGCUAACGCGUGAAGUUGACCGCCUGGGGAGUACGUCGCAAGAUU
rnacentral:rRNA from 1 species